rnacentral:rRNA from 1 species
GAUGAACGCUGGCGGCGUGCCUAAUACAUGCCAGUCGAGCGAACGGACGAGAAGCUUGCUUUUCUGAUGUUAGCGGCGGACGGGUGCGUAACACGUGGAUAACCUACCUAUAAGACUGGGAUAACUUCGGGAAACCGGAGCUAAUACCGGAUAAUAUUUUGAACCGCAUGGUUCAAAAGUGAAAGACGGUCUUGCUGUCACUUAUAGAUGGAUCCGCGCUGCAUUAGCUAGUUGGUAAGGUAACGGCUUACCAAGGCAACGAUGCAUAGCCGACCUGAGAGGGUGAUCGGCCACACUGGAACUGAGACACGGUCCAGACUCCUACGGGAGGCAGCAGUAGGGAAUCUUCCGCAAUGGGCGAAAGCCUGACGGAGCAACGCCGCGUGAGUGAUGAAGGUCUUCGGAUCGUAAAACUCUGUUAUUAGGGAAGAACAUAUGUGUAAGUAACUGUGCACAUCUUGACGGUACCUAAUCAGAAAGCCACGGCUAACUACGUG